GACGAACGCUGGCGGCGUGCCUAAUACAUGCAAGUCGAGCGAAGUUUUUCUGGUGCUUGCACCGGAAAAACUUAGCGGCGAACGGGUGAGUAACACGUAAAGAACCUGCCUCAUAGACUGGGACAACUUUUGGAAACGAUAGCUAAUACCGGAUAAUAGCAUUAACUGCAUGGUUGAUGUUUAAAAGUUGGUUUUGCUAACACUAUGAGAUGGCUUUGCGGUGCAUUAGCUAGUUGGUGGGGUAAAGGCCUACCAAGGCGACGAUGCAUAGCCGACCUGAGAGGGUGAUCGGCCACACUGGGACUGAGACACGGCCCAGACUCCUACGGGAGGCAGCAGUAGGGAAUCUUCCGCAAUGGGCGAAAGCCUGACGGAGCAACGCCGCGUGAGUGAAGAAGGAUUUCGGUUCGUAAAGCUCUGUUGUUAGGGAAGAAUGAUUGUGUAGUAACUAUACACAGUAGAGACGGUACCUAACCAGAAAGCCACGGCUAACUACGUG
rnacentral:rRNA from 1 species